UGCUGGUGUUGCAGGUGUGCCGAUGGUGGAAGCCAUGGUUGCUUUGGUUAUUUUGGAUCAACUGAUGGUGCAGUAUGCACAAUGCCAGCUGCUACCCAUCAACUCUUGCCUCCAAGAACCUGUGGAGGCACCAAAGCUUGAGGCGGCUGUCCUUCCACUUUGAAAGGAAAAAGAAAGCAGUGAUAGAGGGAAGUGAUGUUGUUGUACUAUGAUUUUGAGGACCGAGUUGUCUAAUUUUGCUUAGUAUGCAGUAAGAACAAAUGAAAUAAGGCGGGGAAUGAAAUGAUAUGUUGUAGGGCAUAUUGCUAUAUUGUUUAGUUGUGUUUUUUGUUUCCUAAUUUUUUUUAAUGCUUCAAAAUUGCAGUUGUAUCCCCAAUGCAUGCUAUGGGCGAGCAUGGACCUUUUUUCUUCUCUUGUAAUGUUUAUCUACCCAUCAAUGUCUCACCAAGAUAUGGAAACAAGAAAGAAUUGAAGCAAUUGAUAACGGCAUUGCAUGAUAAGGGAAUCAAAUGUGUUGCAAAUAUAGUCAUUAACCAUAGAUGCACCGAGAAGCAGGAUGGCAGAGGGAUAUGGUGCAUCUUUGAAGGUGGAACAGAAGACGACCGUCUCGACUGGGGCCCUUCUUUAAUUUGCAGUGAUGACACUGCCUAUUCUGAUGGAUACAACUCCACUGAUCAUGUCAAGUCCUUUUAACUUUGGGACAUUCCAAAGAAACCGGUGAAAACAGGAAAUAAGUGGGAGUUUCGUAGAAUUAUAAGAUUGUGGAGAAACUU